rnacentral:rRNA from 1 species
GAACGGUCUUUUCGGAGAUAGUGGCGGACGGGUGAGUAACGCGUGAGAAUCUGCCUUCAGGUCGGGGACAACCACUGGAAACGGUGGCUAAUACGGAUAAGCCGAGAGGUGAAAGGCUAGCUGCCUGAAGAUGAGCUCGCGUCUGAUUAGCUAGUUGGUAGGGUAAGAGCCUACCAAGGCGACGAUCAGUAGCUGGUCUGAGAGGAUGACCAGCCACACUGGGACUGAGACACGGCCCAGACUCCUACGGGAGGCAGCAGUGGGGAAUUUUCCGCAAUGGGCGAAAGCCUGACGGAGCAAUACCGCGUGAGGGAGGAAGGCUCUUGGGUUGUAAACCUCUUUUCUCAGGGAAGAAAAUUGACGGUACCUGAGGAAUAAGCAUCGGCUAACUCCGUGCCAGCAGCCGCGGUAAUACGGAGGAUGCAAGCGUUAUCCGGAAUGAUUGGGCGUAAAGGGUCCGCAGGUGGCUAUGUAAGUCUGCUGUUAAAGAAUGAGGCUUAACCUCAUCAGAGCAGUGGAAACUACACAGCUAGAGUGCGUUCGGGGUAGAGGGAAUUCCUGGUGUAGCGGUGAAAUGCGUAGAUAUCAGGAAGAACACCAGUGGCGAAAGCGCUCUACUAGGCCGCAACUGACACUGAGGGACGAAAGCUAGGGGAGCGAAUGGGAUUAGAUACCCCAGUAGUCCUAGCCGUAAACGAUGGAUACUAGGCGUGGCUUGUAUCGACCCGAGCCGUGCCGGAGCUAACGCGUUAAGUAUCCCGCCUGGGGAGUACGCACGCAAGUGUGAAACUCAAAGGAAUUGACGGGGGCCCGCACAAGCGGUGGAGUAUGUGGUUUAAUUCGAUGCAACGCGAAGAACCUUACCAAGACUUGACAUGUCGCGAAUCCUGCCGAAAGGUGGGAGUGCCUU